GAACGCAUAUUGCACUGAUUGGCCCUCCAAUCAGUAUGCCUGUUUGAGUAUCAUGAAUAACCUAUCAACGGAAACGUUGAUGAAGUGGAUCAUAAGCUUGUUGCUUUGAUCUUGAAUUUAGGUUUGAACGACAAGUUGUUGAAUGAAACAAUUUCCUCGGGACAAGUGCAAUAUGCCUUGAAAUGUGUGAAAGUGGAUCAUUCGGUAUCAUGUCAAUAAAUGUUUAAACAAUUGAGUGAAGCAAGUAUUGUUGUUAUACGAUACAUGUUAUACGACAUGUGUCAUACAACAAUAUGCACGCCACACAAUAUACAAUAAUUGAUCUCAAAUCAGGCAAGAUUACCCGCUGAACUUAA
rnacentral:misc_RNA from 1 species